rnacentral:rRNA from 1 species
GACGAACCGUGCGAACGUUGUUCGGAAUCACUGGGCUUAAAGGGCGCGUAGGCGGCCCGCAAAGUCUCGGGUGAAAGCCCCCGGCUCAACCGGGGAAGUGCCUGGGAUACUGGCGGGCUCGAGGGGGAUAGGGGCGGACGGAACUUCCGGUGGAGCGGUGAAAUGCGUUGAUAUCGGAAGGAACGCCGGUGGCGAAAGCGGUCCGCUGGGUCCCCUCUGACGCUGAGACACGAAAGCCAGGGGAGCAAACGGG